rnacentral:lncRNA from 1 species
GCGACGAAGGAGUAGGUGGUGGGAUCUCACCGUGGGUCCGAUUAGCCUUUUCUCUGCCUUGCUUGCUUGAGCUUCAGCGGAAUUCGAAAUGGCUGGCGGUAAGGCUGGAAAGGACUCCGGAAAGGCCAAGACAAAGGCGGUUUCCCGCUCGCAGAGAGCCGGCUUGCAGUUCCCAGUGGGCCGUAUUCAUCGACACCUAAAAUCUAGGACGACCAGUCAUGGACGUGUGGGCGCGACUGCCGCUGUGUACAGCGCAGCCAUCCUGGAAUUCUGCCUUUUAGGUACUUGAACUGGCAGGAAAUGCAUCAAAAGACUUAAAGGUAAAGCGUAUUACCCCUCGUCACUUGCAACUUGCUAUUCGUGGAGAUGAAGAAUUGGAUUCUCUCAUCAAGGCUACAAUUGCUGGUGGUGUCAUUCCACACAUCCACAAAUCUCUGAUUGGGAAGAAAGGACAACAGAAGACUGUCUAAAGGAUGCCUGGAUUCCUUGUUAUCUCAGGACUCUAAAUACUCUAACAGCUGUCCAGUGUUGGUGAUUCCAGUGGACUGUAUCUCUGUGAAAAACACAAUUUUGCCUUUUUGUAAUUCUAUUUGAGCAAGUUGGAAGUUUAAUUAGCUUUCCAACCAACCAAAUUUCUGCAUUCGAGUCUUAACCAUAUUUAAGUGUUACUGUGGCUUCAAAGAAGCUAUUGAUUCUGAAGUAGUGGGUUUUGAUUGAGUUGACUGUUUUUAAAAAACUGUUUGGAUUUUAAUUGUGAUGCAGAAGUUAUAGUAACAAACAUUUGGUUUUGUACAGACAUUAUUUCCACUCUGGUGGAUAAGUUCAAUAAAGGUCAUAUCC